UUUCACGUUUAGAGUGAUGUAGAAAAAAUACCAAUUCAAAAAUGUAUGAAAAUACUCAUUCAUAGUUUUUUUAGUUCAAUUUUUACUUUUGUUUCAUAGAUUAAUGAUAUAUAAAUAUAAUAUUGAAAUAUAUAUAUUUUGGUAUAUACGGUUUCUUUAUUUAUUAUUAUUUUUUGUUUGAAAGGCAUAGUUGUUGUUAUUGUCCUAUUAAUUCAUUUGGAAUUGUGAAAAUUCCUUCUGCAAGAGUUUCCGAUAGUUUCGGUGAGUGGUGCGAAUUUGACAACUCUAGAGUGGGUGCUGUUCUCUGCCAAAUGAAAAAGGAAAUUUGUUUUUGGUUGUAUAUUGUGAGAUCAAAUCGUGUAUAUAGCGCUUUCAAUAACAGUUUUUGAAAUUCGAUUUUUUGUGUGUUAUUAGGGCCCAAUAAUGUUUGAAAUCCCUAUUUAUUCUCUUUCUUUAGUUUUUAUCUAAAU
rnacentral:lncRNA from 1 species